rnacentral:lncRNA from 1 species
GUGGAGGUCCAGAUCCAUCCACGACCGUCUUGUUGCCGGCGUUCUGGCUGCCCCGGCGGACCUCCUCUGUCCGAAGCUGAGACCUUGUGCGGGCAAGUUCUCCAAGGUCCUCUGCUGCGACCUCCAUAGAAAACUCUCAUUCCAUUCUUUCUCCUACCCCAAUGAGCCCAUUCUCCACACGUCGCCUGCACCCCCGCAUCUAACUCCACCAUCUGGGAACGUCGUAGAAGAAAUCUCCAGUCUUCAUGUAUGCUUGUCUGAAAGGUUGAUACACUAAUUUUCAUACUUGAUUCUGUAGCAUUUAUUUAGGAAAUCACUGUUGUUCAACUUUUACUGCAAACUGUGCAUGCCAUCUACUCCUCGCAAACAAGAACAUAAUACUAUGGACAAAAUUUUACACUGUAAAGGGAAUUGUGCUUGGAGUUCAGACUGAAAGUGCGAAGUAUUCUGUAACGAGACUUGUGCUUGGAGUUCAGUCUGUAAGUAAUCUAUGGAGUAAAAUUUCAUACUUUCAGACUUGUGCUUUGACGGUCUGGAAGUACUUCUGCUUGUACCAAACUUCAUACUUUCAGACCAACAGUCUGAAAGAUAACAUUCGCAAAGAUGACAAUCUAAAAUUACUUGUGCUUGUACCAAAAUUCAAACUUUCAGACUUGUGCUUGGACAGCCUGAAAGUGCCAAAUUUUACACUAACUUGGACAAUGUGAAAGUCUGAAAGUACCGAAUACUUGUGCUUCAACAUGUCAUCUACGACAUACAUAUUAUUAGUACUUCAAACUUCUUCGGCGUAAAGAGUACUCGCAGUACAUAAUAUUAUUUAGAAAUCAUUUUGGUUCAACUCUUACUGCAAACUUCAAGCACAAUUCUGUAGCAUAUCAACUUUAUUUAGGAGGACAUGAUAUUUUGACAUAUAUAUCUGAAAGUGCUCUUGCUUUAAAAUAGUGCUUGGAGCAUAUGUUGUAUCCUCUAUGAUAAGAUUAAAAAAUUCUGGAUCUUUGGAAAUGAUAUGAAUGGCAAUCAUAUGAACAUUUUGUGAAGGUAUAUAUUUUAAUCGUGAGUAACAGUAUCUUGGAAGCUUACAGAGAUUUUUAUGUUUUGAGGUGAUUAAGAAGUCAGAUAUUUGGAUUUGGAGUGAAAUGCAAUUUCUGCUCUGCAUAUGAUGGAUAGAUCAAAGCUCGUCGACUAGUACUACGUUCGUCCUCCGCUGUUUUGUUGCUGCAUCUCGAACUGAAAAUGGAAGGAAGUGGUGGGACGUCGCCUUUAGGAGAGCCCACCGUUCCAGUAAUCCCAAACUAUGUACCAACACUGUCAGGUGAGAAGGCACAGUCUAAAAAAGCAGUAAUAUCGUGUCAUUACCUAACUUUUUCGUUAAUCCCUUCUUUGAUGUUUUUUUGCUGAAUAUCUGUUUGCAGUUGUGGAAUCGGCCAAUAGUGUCCAAAAUCAAGAUUUCAGUGAUGCUACCUCACAAUGUUUUCGAGUCGACGAGUCGACGGGUCGCUCGGGGGGAGCGACUCUAGACUAGUCGUGACUAGUCUAGACUCACGGUCGACGAGUCGACAUGGCGACGAGUCGACAUGAGUUAAGCAGUAGGUACUAGGUAGUAGGGCAUUAGGUACAUUAAGUAAAUGCAACCAGAUUCAAAUGCAAGGAAAUAAGUUCAACACUUCAAGUCUUCAACACCAAAACAUGAAUGGCAGAUUAAAAUGCAAGGAAAUAAGUUCAACACUUCAAAUCUUCAAGCAAUCAAGCCUCAAGCUCCAUGUCUUGAAGCUGAAAAUCAGUGUCUUCAUCAUCUGGUGAUUCAGCAUCGUCUUCAUCACUGCUCUCCAUGUCUUUGUCAUAUUCUGCCGCUUCUAAUUCAGCCCUCAACUCUUCAUCAUGCACAACCAGCCUUGUUCUUGCGUUGUUCCGAGUGUAGGUGAUAUAAGGGCCUAUGGGUCGUGCAAUAGGCUCGCUAGGAUCACCACGAGCUCUCCUAGGAUAGUUGCGGCCUGCUAGAGAAGUUGAUGCACCCAUGGCUUCAUCAACCUGAGACCAAAGUAGUGGUGUUUCACCGUCCAUGACUUGAGCUUGAUCUUCAUGUACCAUUUCAGCAUUGAUAUCAACCCAUUCAUUAUCCCAUUCAAAUUCUUCUAGGACAAGUGGACUAGAUUUCUUUGCUUUAGAGCCUUGCUCACGCAGAUUCUGAAACCUAGCUUCCAUUUUCCGGUUGUACGAGACAUAUGAUAGCUUGUUCAAUCUCUUGUACUCUAGACGGUUUCUCCCUUUGGUGUGGAUCUGCAAGCACACAAAUAUGUGAGAAGCUGCUGCAAUUAGCCUAUCAAACCAGCCAGAUGCUGCUGCUACUUACAUGAGCAAAUACACUCCAAUUGCGCUCGCAGCCAGAUGCUGAACAACAUAGACUAAUGAUUCGCUUUGCAAGAGUUUGGAGGUCAAAAGCAAGGCCACCAUAAGCAUUCCACCAAAGAACUACAAAACCAAGAAGUCCCACAUUAAAGAGAAGGCCACAAUAACCAGCAAUUAGUGGAGUAACUGAGCUGAACAAGAAGACACAAGCUGCCAUAAAAUUUAUACUUACGUGGUCCAGAGGUGUUUCUUCAUCCUAAUUAGUGCACAUACUCACAAUUGUAAACCCCCCAGCAAGGUGUUUCUUCAUCCUACAAGGUCCAGAGGUAAUUUGCUUGCCGCACAAAUUACAUUGCAGCAACAAUCUCUUGUUAAGAUCUGGCCAGAAUGCAUAUUUCCAUGCUGGAUCCUUGCUCUUUGUUGGCCUCCUCUUAGGAUCUUUGAAUGGGUCAUAGUGCUCAUCAGCUUCUUCUGCAGCUUGAGCUGAUCGAACAACUUGGGAUAUCUCUGGCUGGGAGGACAUGGUGCUUGCUGUGAAUCUAUGAUAGAAGGAAAGAUAACUCCACUUAGUUGUUUUUCUCACCAAAUCAAGCCCUAAGCUAACUAGCAGAAACAGUACUUACCAGGGGAGGAGUGGAGGAGCACAAGAGCAGCAGCAUUAACCAGGGGAGGAGUAGAGGAGCACAACAACAGCAGCAUCAACCAGGGGAGGAGUGGAGGAGCACAGCAGCAGCAACAACCAAAGGAGGAAGGGGAGGAGCACAGGGAAGGAGUGAAGGCAGCCGCCAGGGAAAGGGUUAGGUCAGGGUGAGGGGGGAUGGAUCGAUCUAUAUAUUUCCAGUGCUGGGAUGGGCUGAUGGGCCAAAAAACUGUUGGGGGCCCAAAAUAACUGAGUCGUUCGACUCACUUAUGGCGACUAGUCGUGACUAGUCGAGACUAGUCGCUCGAGUCGCUCGACUCAUGCGAGGAGUCGAGUCGCCAGCCCGAGGCGCUCCUGCUCUUGCGACUCGACGACUAGUCGCGACUAGUCGCUCGACUCGAAAACAGAGCUACCUCAUUUGCAGAAAUAAAUUCCCCAAUGCUUCUCAUUCAUGGUGCGAGUACACCAAAAAGGAAACAAGCCUUCUCUCAAGAGGUACCAAUGCCGGUCACAGCUUGUUAUACCCACUAAAUAAGCAUUGCAUUUGUCACUUGCCUCCAUCAACAGAGGUAGAUGAAAGUUAUGUGAGAGCAUAUCAUCAUGUGAAACAAAUUGCGCAACUGAAGAAUCUUCAUCUUUUCAAAAGAAAAAUAACCAUUUUGUGGUUCACUUGUUAUAGGUAAUAUUGUUCUUCUCGAACUUAUGACUGCUCGUGAGUGAUUAAACUGUCCAGUGGCUUUCUCUGUCCAGCAUAGACGCAUUUAGGUUGCGUUUUGCAAUGAAUUUGUCUCUAAUUUUCCUUCCAUGUGGUUUCUGCAGCAAACAAUCAAAUGGUAUUGUUGAUGCAUAUUCAUUUCAUUAGAUAACGAUGAUUAAAAAAAUUAAGUACGAACGCAUGACACUUGCAUGGACCUGUGCUAACUGAAUCUCGUUUGUUAGGUCUGACUUCUCCCAGCACAAGAAGAUCGAUAAGCAAGAGGCACUAGUACUGGAGGCAAAAGGCUGUAGCUUUUCUGUUGUGUACCAAACAGAGCAAACUUGAUGCAAAUUCUGAUGGCAAGCUUGUUCAGCAGACAGCGGUGCUUACUUUAGUCCUGCAUACUCUGUGUUGUCUGUGAUGUACCAAAAAUGGUCCUCUCAUGUUAUGUAACACUUUAUAUGUAUGUGUGUCGUCUCUGUUAUGUUCUGUUCUGUCUGGGAUAGUGCAAUUUAAAAUGUAUGCGUAGUUAUGGUUUAAAGUGGAUGGAUUAAUUUUCUCAUGUCUCAAAAAUUUGUGAUGUUCUCAUACAUUUUAGUGACGAACAUGCUUGGAUUUCUUGCAUGAUUCUGAAUGUAGCAGAAGCUACUAAUGAAAUCAAAUAUAUAUAUAUAUAU